GACGAACGCUGGCGGCGUGCUUAACACAUGCAAGUCGAAUGGAAAGGCCCUGCUUGCAGGGUACUCGAGUGGCGAACGGGUGAGUAACACGUGGGUGAUCUGCCCUGCACUUCGGGAUAAGCCUGGGAAACUGGGUCUAAUACCGGAUAGGAGCCAUUUUUAGUGUGAUGGUUGGAAAGUUUUUUCGGUGUAGGAUGAGCUCGCGGCCUAUCAGCUUGUUGGUGGGGUAAUGGCCUACCAAGGCGGCGACGGGUAGCCGGCCUGAGAGGGUAGACGGCCACAUUGGGACUGAGAUACGGCCCAGACUCCUACGGGAGGCAGCGGUGGGGAAUAUUGCACAAUGGGCGCAAGCCUGAUGCAGCGACGCCGCGUGGGGGAUGACGGCCUUCGGGUUGUAAACUCCUUUCGCUAGGGACGAAGCUUUUUGUGACGGUACCUAGAUAAGAAGCACCGGCUAACUACGUG
rnacentral:rRNA from 1 species